UCUGCCCAAAUGUUCUUCUCCUCUCGUUUGCCUACCUAAUGCCCCAGACUCUUCCAGAUGCAAGUCAACUGCUACCCUUCUGGAACGCCCCUCCAGUUCUCCAGGGGAUCAGUGGCUACGCAGAGCUCUCCUCACAUUGGAUUCUACUGUUUGUCUGUGGAUCUUCCCCCCAUUAGACAAUGGACUUCUCUAGGGCAAGGACUGGGUGCCAUCUCUGUCCUAGGGCCAUCUCUCCAGCCCCUAGAGCGCUGCCCAGCCCACAGCAGCUGCUCCAACAAUACGUAAGUGACCCUAAGGGGCACUAUGAUCCUCAGCGAAUGGGGGGGAGGGGGAACCCAUUCUUUCUGUUUUCUUCUCAUUUUCACUCCUGAAGUUUCCAGAGCACUUGAAAAUUGACCACUAACAGAUUGCUUCCACGCCAUGUCAGAAUUUUCCCUAAAUUUCUCAACUGUUUAUCCACUUUCUAGUGUUAUAUAACCGAAGGCUGAUGUAGUGGUAAAGGAAUCUCGUUAUAUAAUUCAGUCCUACCCACUGCAGCUCACUUGGGAGGGCAGCAGAGGACGGUGGCGGGGACCGAGAAAGGCUCUCUGCACUGCUGGGUUGGGUGGGCCCUUCCCUGCCCCCUCCCACUUCCCUGAAGCGUCUUCAGGAUUCUACUGCUUGGUGGCUGCCCAGGUCCCCAGCAGAUGUUAAGCAAAGCCUGAGGGACACCAGGGAACGUGGCGCUGUCUUUGGCAUCCUCGUCAAGCCCACGAGCAGAUAUUAAAGAUCUUGUUCAUUCAGCUCUGCUGGAGUGAAGACUGUUGCCAGACAGUUCAUUUUUAUUGUUUUUUCUAGAACAGCAGGGCUGUUAUUACAAGUGUUCUUGAGAGAACGGUGAAGCCAAAAAGAGAUUCCACAGCGUCUUAAAAAUAGCCAGUAGUAUGCGAACUGCUCGACUAGGGAGGCAAAGAUCCUGAUGUGUCUGACACACGGGGCAUUUGUGAACCACUGUUUGGCUACCGGUCCCACCACUUCGCACCCUCCUCCAACACUGUCGCCAGGGCAGGGCCAAGGGGAGGUACUUGAGAGAAAAGCCGCACCCCUGGCCAGCUCCCACCUAGGCUGGAAGGAGCCGGGGUGCUGUACUUGGAGCGCGGACACACAGUUCCAAAAGGAAAGGGCGGGCCGGCUCUGGCCAGAGGAAAGUCCCAGAGAUGCAUUUGUGCCAAGGGAUGUCUGUCACCCCGCCCUUUAAGGCUGCUCCCAGCACUGUCACCCCAAAACUGGAGGCAGUUAGACCAGCACCCGGAGGAGGCAGAGAGGAAGAAAAUCAGAGGCGGUGUUAGUGAAAGAGAGGCCGCGUGAUGGGGAUUCGGAGACAGCGAGACGGGACAGAACCCAGACGGGACAGGAGGGCAGGGGCUGAUCGUCCGAGAGCGGACAACCCUCCAGCCUUUCCGCGGAGGAGCGCUGUGGCGGGCAGCCGUGGGCCCUCGGGUUCUGCGGAGAUGUGGCGCCUGAAUGCUGAGCCUCGUCAAAAGCCCUCAUCAAAAAAGUAAUCGGUGGGCCGCUCCGGUGGCGCAGUGGUUAAGUUCCUAGGUUCUGCUUCUCAGCGGGUUCGUGGCCCCAUCCCGGUGCGCACAUGGCACUGCUUGGCAUAAAGCCAUGCUGUGAUGUUAACAUCUGCAACACCCCCGGCUAACAAGAGUGUGCAAUGAACAUGAAAUGUCCAGCUUUAAGCUCAAACCCCCUCACCGUGAAGGGCAAGUCUGCAGUGUGGACACUGCCCUGUUCGGAUGGUCACUGCUGCACAGAACCAGCCAUGGUCCCAGAGAGCUGGGAAGAUGCUCAUGUUCCUGCUUCUCGCUGGAGACCUGAGGAUUCGCCAGUGAAUCAAUCAGCUAAGGGAACAGAGGACUCCAGUGAAAACUCAGUGACUGGUAAUGGCAGCUCUACCAGCCAGGUUCCAGAGGGGGAGGUCCUGGAGCACAUCCCCCGGCUCACUCGUGAAGGACAUGUGGCCUAGCUCUUCUUGAAUUGUUUUCUACGUCAAAGCAGAACUGGAGGGUCUCGGCCGCACACCCUCUCGUCUCAGGAGGGCAGGAAGGCGACAAAGGUGGGGCAGCCACAUGGAAGAAGAUGCUUAGGAGAGAAGCUGACGUGGGGACGUGGGGUGAGGGAGGUAAAGCCCAAUGAAGCAGUCGCUUGCCCAGUUACACAGCCAUGAUGUGCAGUGGGGAUCAGCCCAGGUCUGUCUGACUCCAGAGGCCAUCACUAAAGUCACAGCCCCUCCGUCUCCACGUCCCACCUCAAACGAACCUCUGCUUUCUUGUCAAAUAUUUUCAAACUUUUUCACCAAGCAGGGUUAUGUGAUAUGCAGCAGAUAAUAGUAUCAGUUUUGUUCUGAACUCCACACUGUCAACCUAUUAAAAUACUCCUAUAAAAACUAAUACUAGGGGGCCAGCCCGGUGGCGUAGUGGUUAAGUUCGAGUGCUCUGCUUCA